rnacentral:rRNA from 2 species
UGAGGAAUAUUGGUCAAUGGACGCAAGUCUGAACCAGCCAUGCCGCGUGCAGGAUGACGGCUCUAUGAGUUGUAAACUGCUUUUAUAUGAGGGUAAACUCAGGUACGUGUACCUGACUGAAAGUAUCAUAAGAAUAAGGAUCGGCUAACUCCGUGCCAGCAGCCGCGGUAAUACGGAGGAUCCAAGCGUUAUCCGGAUUUAUUGGGUUUAAAGGGUGCGUAGGCGGCCUGGUAAGUUAGAGGUGAAAUCCCAUCGCUCAACGAUGGACGUGCCUCUGAUACUGUUGGGCUAGCGAGAGAGUGCUGUGGGCGGAAUGUGUAGUGUAGCGGUGAAAUGCUUAGAGAUUACACAGAACACCGAUUGCGAAAGCAGCUCACAAAUUCUUUUCGGACGCUGAGGCACGAAAGCGUGGGGAGCAAACAGG